rnacentral:lncRNA from 1 species
GAUAAUAAAGGCCACACAUGUUUGUUGUUGAUUGGUUAUGAAUGGUUGAGGAUUACAGUUGAGGAUGAUUGUUUUCUUGAUGUGUUAGAAUCACGUUUAGGCUCAAGUUUAAUUCAUUCAUCGUUUUCAAUUUUGCACCAUGGUUGGUUGACUCUGUCAGUCACGAGGAACACCUGACCUUGCUUUGUUUGGUUCUCACUCAUCCGGGCUCGGAAUUGAGAACCGUUUCUUUUGUUUGCUUCCUUAUUCAUUUAGAAACUUUCUGACCAAAUUUGGGAUUUUUUAUCAACCGGAUGGACCAGUUGGAAACUGGUUCAACCGGUUCAGCACCAUAGUUGGCUGACUCUGUCAGUCACAAGGAACACCUGACCUUGCUUUGUUUGGUUCUCACUCAUCCAGGCUCGGAAUUGAGAAUCGUUUCUUUUUUUUACUUCCUUAUUCAUUUAGGAACUUUCUAACCAAAUUUGGGAUUUUUUAUCAACCGGAUGGACCAGUUGGAAACCGGUUCAACCGGUUCAGCACCAUAGUUGGCUGACUCUGUCAGUCAUGAGGAAUACCUGACCUUGCUUUGUUUGGUUCUCACUCAUCCGGGCUUGGAAUUGAGAAC